AUCGCUUCUCGGCCUUUUGUCUAAGAUCAUGUGUAGUGUCUGUUCUAAAGUCAGUACUUGACAGGUUGCUCUGGCUAUAACCUUCCUGUUUUAGUGGUUUAUAGGCUAGCAUGUGGGAAACCUUAAAAGUGCACUUUCAUUUCUCUUUCGUGUAUAUACAUGAUUCUGUUGGUAUUACAAUUCUAUGCAGCACUU